AGUCCACCACGUAAGGACACAGCAAGAAGGCACCAUCUAUGAACCAGGAAGCAAAACAGUCCUCAUCAGGCACCAAUCUGCUGGCACCUUGAUCUCGGACUUCCCAGCCUCCAGAACUGUGAGCAAUAAAUUUGUUGUUUUUAAGCCGCCCAGUCUGUGAUGUUUUGUUUUAGCAUCCCAGACUAAGUAAGGGUUUAAAAGAGGUGAUUAAGUUAAAAUGAGGUCAUCAGGGUGCACCCCAGUCCGACAUAGCUGAUGUCCUUAUAAGAAGAGGAAAUUAGGACACAGACAUAUGCCAUGUGAAGACGCAGGGAGAAUGUGACAUCUGCAAGCCAAGGAGAGAGGCUGCAGGAGAAACCAGCUCUGCUGACACUUUGAUCUCAAGCUCUGGCCACCAGAACUGUGAGCAAAUAAGUGUCUGUUGUUUAGGGCACCCUGUCCAUGGCACCUUGCUCCGAUAGCCCCAGGAAACGAAUCCACAGAGGAGGAAGCCGAGGUUGGGAAAGGUGGAGGGACUUGCCCAAGUCACACAAACGACAACUCAGCAGAGCUGAGAAUUGGCACCCAGGGCAACUGGAGUCCAUCCUGAGCUUGUCACUGCUGGGCUCUGAGACCUCCUGGUGAAGAAGGACAGUGGCAGAGACAGCCCGACCCAGAGAAACCCAGCAACGCUACUUUCUAAGGGCAUUUUUCCCUCUCAUUUGGAAUCCUGAGCCUCCUGCUCGUCCUGUAGGCCACACCCAGCAAACAGGUGGGUUUCAUUUCCUGGAGAAACCACAGAUGGAAAGUCCCAGCCAUGGGCUCCGUGUGACCUGGUGGCCUUAAGAAGCUCCCCCCACCGCCCCUCAGCCCUUUAAUCAUUUACAAAGCAGGGCCACACAGAGCAUCUAUUUUCUUUCUGGAACAUCAGAGCUGGCUGGGAACUGGGAGAAGAGCUGGAGCAACAGCCUGCAUCCAUUUCCUCUUGCUGCAAUAACAACUGAUCACAAGAUGGAGUCUCACUCUGUCAACCAGGCUGGAGUGCACUGGCGCAAUCUCGGCUCACUGCAGUCACCUCCUCUCAGGUUCAAGUGAUUCUCCUGCCUCUGCCUCCUGAGUAGCUGGGAUUACAGGUGCAUGCCACCACGCUCUGCUAAUUUUUGUAUUUUUAGUAGAGACGGGGUUUCACCGUGUUGGCCAGGCUGGUCUGGAACUCCUGACCUCAGGUGAUCCGGCUGCCUCAGCCUCCCAAAGUACUGGGAUUACAGGCAUGAGCCACCACACCUUGCCACAAAUGUGGUUUUUAAAUGUGGUUUUUAAAAAUAUCUUGAUAGCCAUAUUUCCAGUGACUCGGUUUCCUGUGUAAUCCUACGUAUUUGUUAUGCAUGUACAAAGAAGACAGGGCAUGAAGGUGUCACCAGAUGCCACAGCAGCCCACAGCACAGAAAAGGUCACAACCACCUACUUCAGAGAAAGGCACUGGGGACCUUGGCUAUGUGGACAAGAACCAGGAGCUUGGGCUUCCCAGGCACAGCAGGGAAGCCUGCAGGGGCCUGACAGGUGGAUAACCUAGUGCCCAAGGCAGGGCUGGGUGGAGGAGAGAGUGGCACCCUCUGAUUGUCUGAGGUCUCUAUCUCUAGAGGACAGUACCACAGAUUGGAAGCCAGGUCUUUCCAGAGUCCCUGUGACCUCCUCUUUCUGCAUGAAACCCAGAUUGAGUAGGAAAAUGUCCCCAGGAGGAAGCAGCCACUGCCCAAGGGAGACAGCUAGAGACUCGCUGGGCAGGCUACAUCCCUGGGCUUCUCUCGGACCCGACAAGAGCCUGUCCAUCCCUUCACCUCCACUAAGAUCAGGGCACCCCAGGAGUCUCGGCAGGGCCACCCCAGGCUCUGCUCUGCCCUGGAAAGGUCCUCGUUUCACACUGACUCAGUUUCAGUUUUGGAAGGAGGUCAGAGGUUGCCUCCAUGUCCCUUCUCCCCACUGGUUCUCUGGAACCCUCCAUCAUAGAUGUCCCUGCCCUUCCUUCCCUGCUCAGGAGCAAAACCCCCAACCCCCAGGAGCUGGUCUCUCUAAGUCCUCUUGGAUCAGGCCAGGCUCAGCCCUGGAGGCCACAGCUCAGGCCCUGAGCCAGCCCAAGGGGCAGGGCGAGGAACCUACAUUGUUGUGUGCCCAGCCCCUUUAAGGGGCCCAUACGGACAAGAGCAAAUUCAGUAGGUUGCGUCAUCCACUCUAUAGUGAUUAAACAGGGAUGGUGGAGAAGUAGAGAAGUGUCAGCUCUGGAACCAGGUGGCCCUAGAUUGAAAUCCUAGCUCUGCUAUUUACCAGCCAGGUGGCCUUGGAUAGGUGAUUUGACCAAUACCGUUCCUCCGUUUCCCCACCUUGAGUGUUAUUGCAAGGAUUAAAUGAGUUACUACAAAGUAAAGUACUAAAUACAUAUCAGCUAUUAUUAUUAUUACUACUACUAUUAUUAUUAUGAGCCAGGAGAUGGGGACUGUGACAUAGGCUGCUGGUCUCUUCUCUCCUCUUCCAUAAGAAUAGUUCACCCCAUCCUUAGCUGGGUGUAUGGCCACCUGGCCCAAAACUACAUUUCCCAGCAUCCCUUGCUGCUAGAUGUGACCAUGUGAUCAAGUUCUGGCCAAUGAGAUGCCAGGAGAAGUGGUUUGGCCCACUUCCUGGGAGUUUUCUUUAAAGGACAGGGGCAAUGCCUUCUCCUUUUCUUCUCCUUUCUGCUGACCAGAAUGUGAGCAUGGAGUCUGGAGCAGGAGCAGCUGUUGUGCACUGUGAGGUUGAAGCCGUGUGUUGAGAAUAGCAGAGCAACAAAGCAAUAGGAGCUGGAGCCCCUAGGGGCCAUGAAGCCCCUACCAGCCCUGGACUGCUUAGAUUUACUUGAGCAAGAAAUAAACCCUUGAUUGUUUAAACCGGUG
rnacentral:lncRNA from 10 species